CGAUGAUAGGGGUCUGAGAGGAGUACCCCCCACAUUGGAACUGAGACACGGUCCAAACUCCUACGGAAGGCAGCAG
rnacentral:rRNA from 1 species